GACGAACGCUGGCGGCGUGCUUAACACAUGCAAGUCGAACGGAAAGGCCCUGCUUGCAGGGUACUCGAGUGGCGAACGGGUGAGUAACACGUGGGUGAUCUGCCCUGCACUUCGGGAUAAGCCUGGGAAACUGGGUCUAAUACCGGAUAGGAGCCAUUUUUAGUGUGAUGGUUGGAAAGUUUUUUCGGUGUAGGAUGAGCUCGCGGCCUAUCAGCUUGUUGGUGGGGUAAUGGCCUACCAAGGCGGCGACGGGUAGCCGGCCUGAGAGGGUGGACGGCCACAUUGGGACUGAGAUACGGCCCAGACUCCUACGGGAGGCAGCAGGGGGGAAUAUUGCACAAUGGGCGCAAGCCUGAUGCAGCGACGCCGCGUGGGGGAUGACGGGCUUCGGGUUGGAAACUCCUUUCGCUAGGGACGAAGCUUUUUGUGACGGUACCUAGAUAAGAAGCACCGGCUAACUACGUG
rnacentral:rRNA from 1 species